GCCCGCAGAAGCAACCCUUGACCCUGGGAAGCAGCAUUUCGCUGGGGCCCGGACUGGACACAGGGGAGGAUGUGGUGGCACGGUGGAUGGGAAGUGGCUGGGCAGAGCAGAAUUCUCAGAGGGAGGUCAGGGCCUCUCCACGGACCGCAGGGUUCCCCUCAGGGACCUAACCCUGAUGUACACACUCAGGUCCUAGGGCUAGGGGUGUGGCUUUGCAAUACAGUAACUGCCCAGCUUACAUGAAGCCCCGGCCUCCAUCCUCCUCCUCACCAAAAACAAAACCAAACCUCCCCAAACCUUCACACCCUGCCAUCCUCCUUACCACAGCUGCUCACGCGCAAAGUCAGACUGCCGUUCUGCAAAGGGCACAGAAUCCACGAGACGGGACCAUGGGGUCUGGACAUUUUCCUAGUGACUUUCUCUCCUCUGGUCCAGCAAGGAGGUGAGGUCUCUGCCAGCCAUCCCCCCACCCCCAACACACACCUCUAUCCCCCUCCUCCUCCCUCGCCCAUCACCUCCACUCCCGAGUCCUCAAGCAGGAACUCAAGCAGGCAGAGGCAGGCGGAUCUCUGUGAGUUCGAGGCCAGCCGGGUCUACAAGAGCGAGUUCCAGGCUACUACUUCUAAAAUGGAACCACUGGCGGUUGCUUCUCUCUUGGGUUUUGUUUGCUUUCUUAUACUGAAUAGGCUCAUGAGUGUGGAGAGAGUGAUGUGAGCUUAAUACGAUAAAAACACGGGCGUGAAAGUGUCACGGCGUCUAAUCUACACACGCUAAGAAGGGCAGGGCUGAGUUCCGGGUCCCUGUCUGCCUGUGCUGCCAGCGCCGCGUUCUCUGACUCGGUUUGACGGUGCCGUCUCCCAAGGGCUGGGCUAGCGUAAACCUCGAGUGACCGCCAGGAGCAGGACUAAGAAGGAGACCCCAAGUUUUCUUCCUAGUGCCCACAAUGGGCUGGCUGCUCACAACCCCAGUAACUCCAGCUCAAGGGGAUCUAAGACGCUCUUCUGUCCUCCAUGGAUGCUGGAUACACAGACACACACCUAUGCGCGUAAUUAAAAAUAAACUAGAGCCAGAUGGUGGUAGUUACCUUGAAAAUAAACUUUUUUUAAAGCCA